rnacentral:rRNA from 1 species
GACGAACGCUGGCGGCGUGCUUAACACAUGCAAGUCGAACGGAAAGGCCCUGCUUUCGUGGGGUGCUCGAGUGGCGAACGGGUGAGUAACACGUGAGUAACCUGCCCUUGACUUUGGGAUAACUUCAGGAAACUGGGGCUAAUACCGGAUAGGAGCUCCUGCUGCAUGGUGGGGGUCGGAAAGUUUCGGCGGUUGGGGAUGGACUCGCGGCUUAUCAGCUUGUUGGUGGGGUAGUGGCUUACCAAGGCUUUGACGGAUAGCCGGCCUGAGAGGGUGACCGGCCACAAUGGGACUGAGGGACGGCGCAGACUCCUACGGGAGGCAACAGUGGGGAAUAUUGCACAGUGGGCGGGAGCCUGAUGCAGCAACGCCGCGUGCGGGAUGACGGCCUUCGGGUUGUAAACCGCUUUCGCCUGUGACGAAGCGUGAGUGACGGUAAUGGGUAAAGAAGCACCGGCUAACUACGUG